rnacentral:rRNA from 1 species
AUACAGAGGGGGCAAGCGUUGUUCGGAAUUACUGGGCGUAAAGGGCGCGUAGGCGGCCUUCUAAGUCGAACGUGAAAUCCCCGGGCUCAACCCGGGAACUGCGUCCGAUACUGGAAGGCUUGAAUCCGGGAGAGGGAUGCGGAAUUCCAGGUGUAGCGGUGAAAUGCGUAGAUAUCUGGAGGAACACCGGUGGCGAAGGCGGCAUCCUGGACCGGUAUUGACGCUGAGGCGCGAAAGCCAGGGGAGCAAACG